rnacentral:rRNA from 1 species
GUGGGGAAUAUUGGACAAUGGGCGCAAGCCUGAUCCAGCCAUGCCGCGUGUGUGAAGAAGGCCUUUUGGUUGUAAAGCACUUUAAGCGAGGAUGAGGCUACUUGGAUUAAUACUCUAGGAUAGUGGACGUUACUCGCAGAAUAAGCACCGGCUAACUCUGUGCCAGCAGCCGCGGUAAUACAGAGGGUGCGAGCGUUAAUCGGAUUUACUGGGCGUAAAGCGUGCGUAGGCGGCUUCUUAAGUCGGAUGUGAAAUCCCUGAGCUUAACUUAGGAAUUGCAUUCGAUACGGGGAAGCUAGAGUAUGGGAGAGGAUGGUAGAAUUCCAGGUGUAGCGGUGAAAUGCGUAGAGAUCUGGAGGAAUACCGAUGGCGAAGGCAGCCAUCUGGCCUAAUACUGACACUGAGGUGCGAAAGCAUGGGGAGCAAACAGGAUUAGAUACCCCAGUAGUCC